UGGGGAAUAUUGCACAAUGGGGGAAACCCUGAUGCAGCGACGCCGCGUGAGCGAAGAAGGUUUUCGAAUCGUAAAGCUCUGUCCUAUGAGAAGAUAAUGACGGUAUCAUAGGAGGAAGCCCCGGCUAAAUACGUGCCAGCAGCCGCGGUAAUACGUAUGGGGCGAGCGUUGUCCGGAAUUAUUGGGCGUAAAGGGUACGUAGGCGGUCUAUUAAGUCAGGUGUGAAAGCGUGAGGCUUAACCUCAUUAAGCACUUGAAACUGAUAGACUUGAGUGAAGGAGAGGAAAGUGGAAUUCCCAGUGUGGCGGUGAAAUGCGUAGAUAUUGGGAGGAACACCAGUAGCGAAGGCGGCUUUCUGGACUGCAACUGACACUGAGGCACGAAAGCGUGGGUAGCAAACAGG
rnacentral:rRNA from 1 species